UGCGAGCUCUAUGGACUUCGGUCCAUGGCGGACGGCUCAGUAACACGUGGCUAACCUACCCUCGGGUGGGGGAUAACCUCGGGNAAACUGAGGAUAAUACCCCAUAGGGGAAGAGGUCUGGAAUGAUCCUUCUCUGAAAACAUAUGUGCCCGAGGAUGGGGCUGCGUCUGAUUAGGUAGUUGGUGGGGUAACGGCCCACCAAGCCUACGAUCAGUACGGGCCUUGAGAGAGGCAGCCCGGAGAUGGGGACUGAGACACGGCCCCAGGCCCUACGGGGCGCAGCAGGCGCGAAACCUCCGCAAUGCACGAAAGUGCGACGGGGGGACCCCAAGUGCUUACGCACUGCGUAGGCUUUUCUAAAGUGUAAAAAGCUUUAGGAAUAAGGGCUGGGCAAAUCCGGUGCCAGCAGCCGCGGUAACACCGGCGGCCCGAGUGGUGACCACUUUUAUUGGGCCUAAAGCGUCCGUAGCCGGUCCAGUAAGUCCCUGUUUAAAUCCUACGGCUUAACCGUAGGGCUGGCAGGGAUACUGCUGGACUUGGGACCGGGAGAGGGCGAGGGUACUUCAGGGGUAGCGGUGAAAUGUGUUGAUCCCUGGAGGACCACCUAUGGCGAAGGCACUCGCCUGGAACGGGUCCGACGGUGAGGGACGAAAGCCAGGGGCGCGAACCGGAUUAGAUACCCGGGUAGUCCUGGCCGUAAACUCUGCGNGAUAGGGUGUUAGGUAGGCCCCGUGCCUAUCUUAGUGCCGAAGGGAAGCCGUUAAGUCCGCCGCCUGGGGGAGUACGGUCGCAAGACUGAAACUUAAGGAAUUGGCCGGGGGAGCACUACAACGGGU
rnacentral:rRNA from 1 species